rnacentral:tRNA from 1 species
GGGUCUUUAGCUCAGUAGUAGAGCGGCAGACUUCGGUUCGUGAAUCUGAAGCUUCACACUUUCUCCCAGGUUGUCGGUAUUCUGCAGGUCGCGGGUUCAAUCCCCGUAGGACUCU